rnacentral:rRNA from 1 species
AUAUACAACUUUCAGCAACGGAUCUCUUGGCUCUCGCAUCGAUGAAGAACGCAGCGAAAUGCGAUAAGUAAUGUGAAUUGCAGAAUUCAGUGAAUCAUCGAAUCUUUGAACGCACCUUGCGCUCCUUGGUAUUCCGAGGAGCAUGCCUGUUUGAGU